UACUCUCACACUCUCUAAUUAGUAAUUAGUUAGAGAGCGGUGGACUUGGAUGCUGCCUGGUACUUACUGUCAGGCUCAUCUAAAAUGAAUUAGUGCGACUCCUAGUUAAACAUAGUACGGCGUGAUAAGUAAACCCUCGCUGUUUUUUGGUUGAUUAGGAGCUCUGUGCUUCAAACCGUCUCAGGACAAUGUCUGAUA
rnacentral:misc_RNA from 1 species